rnacentral:rRNA from 1 species
AUUGAACGCUGGCGGCAGGCCUAACACAUGCAAGUCGAACGAGUGGCGGACGGGUGAGUAAUGUCUGGGAAACUGCCCGAUGGAGGGGGAUAACUACUGGAAACGGUAGCUAAUACCGCAUACCAUCGGAUGUGCCCAGAUGGGAUUAGCUAGUAGUGGGGGUAAAGGCUCACCUAGGCGACGAUCCCUAGCUGGUCUGAGAGGAUGACCAGCCCCACUGGAACUGAGACACGGUCCAGCCUCCUCCGGGAGGCAGCAGUGGGGAAUAUUGCACAAUGGGCGCAAGCCUGAGGCAGCCAUGCCGCGUGUAUGAAGAAGGCCUUCGGGUUGUAAAGUACUUUCAGCGAGGAGGCGUUACUCGCAGAAGAAGCACCGGCUAACUCCGUGCCAGCAGCCGCGGUAAUAC